AACGCGAAGAACCUUACCUGGGCUCGAAAUGUAGUGGAAUAGGGUGGAAACAUCCUAGUCUCGCAAGAGACUGCUAUAUAGGUGCUGCAUGGCUGUCGUCAGCUCGUGUCGUGAGAUGUUGGGUUAAGUCCCGCAACGAGCGCAACCCUUAUCCCUAGUUGCCAUCGGGUCAAGCCGGGCACUCUAGUGAAACCGCCCGGGAUAACCGGGAGGAAGGUGGGGAUGACGUCAAGUCCUCAUGGCCUUUAUGUCCAGGGCUACACACGUGCUACAAUGGUCGGUACAAACCGUCGCAAACCCGCGAGGGGGAGCUAAUCGGAAAAAGCCGGCCUCAGUUCGGAUUGGAGUCUGCAACCCGACUCCAUGAAGCUGGAAUCGCUAGUAAUCGCGGAUCAGAACGCCGCGGUGAAUACGUUCCCGGGCCUUGUACACACCGACGCGUA
rnacentral:rRNA from 1 species